AAGAUGUAAGAGAGCAUAUAGUGUUUGCGAUUGAAUAUGGGAAAUGACUCCACGAACCCUAAGCGGGUACCCCUCAAUCCCAACUGGGCUCAGCUGCAACAAAAACUGAAAAGCGACGCGCCAAAGCCAUUUAAACCUUCAGUUGAUUCGGACAGAAAAACCCAAAAAAGCGUAUUAGGGAAACGUAAAGAGAGAGAGGAUGCCGAACCCACUUCUCAGAAGUCUAUUCUCACUCCAGUCACGAAUGAUUACAGGU